rnacentral:lncRNA from 1 species
AGAAAUAACCAAUCUGAAUCUUAUCCGAUACCCCAAUGCACAUGCCUAUGAAAAACAGAUGUCUCUCCGCAUAGUUACAAACGUGUAUUUGGUGGCGAGUGGAUCACAAAAUUGUUUUGAGAAGCUACAAACAUCUAUACAAUUACUACCUUUUUUUUUUUUUUUGUCCAACAAUUACUACCUAAGAAGCACCAAUAAUGCGUUCACAUUUGACCAGUUAAUGCUAACCAACUAAAUCUCAAGACGUAAAGAUGCAUUCCCACAGACAACAUCAUAUCUCCUUAAUUUAUCUGGCUUAUUUGAAAUGCGUCCACACAUAACGCCCAAUGAGACUUAUUACAUGAAUAAAGAGAAUGUGUGAGUGUACAUCGGCUAUCUUUUUCAAUUCUUGCGUACUUUUCUGGGAUUUUUCUUAGAGUUAUAUUGGUUUCGGUUUUAGCAAUAAACAUAGGUUUUAACUUGUUUGGAAUGCGUUGGCGAAUUUAUUGAACAGCGUGUAACUUUUGAUAAUAUUAGCUCAUCACUCUUUGUGUGUAGUGCGUCUUCUACCACUCUUUAUACCGAUUCUCUAAUAAUUGACUGACAAAAUCCAUAACAGAAUAUCCU